rnacentral:rRNA from 1 species
CGCGCAAAUUACCCAAUCCUGACACAGGGAGGUAGUGACAAGAAAUAACAAUACAGGGCUAAUGUCUUGUAAUUGGAAUGAUGGUGACCCAAACCCUCACCAGAGUAGCAAUUGGAGGGCAAGUCUGGUGCCAGCAGCCGCGGUAAUUCCAGCUCCAAUAGCGUAUAUUAAACUUGUUGCAGUUAAAAAGCUCGUAGUUGAAUUUUAGCGUGUUCGAGUUUGCCAUUCGUUUGGCUUUUUCGAGUUCGCUUUUGGGUUUUCCCUUUUUACUUUGAGAAAAUUAGAGUGUUUCAAGCAGACUUUUGUCUUGAAUACUUCAGCAUGGAAUAAUAGAGUAGGACUUUGGUUCUAUUUUGUUGGUUAUUGAACCUUAGUAAUGGUUAAUAGGAACGGUUGGGGGCAC